UCCUGUCAAUAUUCAAAAUAGUUUUUGUAAUAGAAAAUAAAAUUAAAAUUUCUGAAAAUAUAUAUUUCAUAUAAAUUCCAAUGGAUAAAAUUUGAAGUCCCAGAUAAAUAAAUUGCAAAUGAAGAAUUUUAACGAAUUAGGCGAAACUAUUUUGGCCGGAAAUCUUAAAAAGAGAAAAACUUUCGGGAUAUCGACAUUUGGUUACCAUUUAAAAUUAAUGCUCCAUCGAGAUUAGCCGAAAAAGAUGGAUUAAAGAGAUAUGGAGCUUCUGGGCAUGAAGGGGAAAAAGUGAUAUUGUCUUAUUUACUUAUCAUCCACAUUGGUUGUUAUAAACAUUUCUCUGUCUCGUUUUUUUUUUUUUUUUUUCUUUUUUUUUUUGUGAAAAGUAUGACAAUUGUCAUGCUCGUAAAACAAGCUGAAAGACAUGCCACUUGACAAACGUUGGCAAAAAAUAUUUAUCAGAUUUCCAGUUUUUUUUGUUUGCCUCUUUUUAUUAACCCAAUAAAAGUGUCUACCAGAAAUACCGACAAUUCUUAUCAGA